rfam:Schistosoma mansoni, Puerto Rico, WGS project CABG01000000 data, contig: 0071
CUCUAGCUGACAAAUCCCAAGUAGGACGAAACGCGCGUCAUGGAU